rnacentral:rRNA from 1 species
UGGAUAAAAGUGGCUCCCACGUGGUGGAGUUUUGUAGGUACCAUACGAAUAAGGACCGGGCUAAUUCCGUGCCAGCAGCCGCGGUAAUACGGAAAGGUCCCGGGCGUUAUCCGGGAUUUAUUGGGUUUAAAGGGAGCGUAGGCCGUGGAUUAAGUGUGUUGUGAAAUGUAGGCGCUCAACGUCUGACUUGCAGCGCAUACUGGUCCACUUGAGUGCGCGCAACGCGGGCGGAAUUUGUCGUGUAGCGGUGAAAUGCUUAGAUAUGACGAAGAACCCCGAUUGCGAAGGCAGCUCGCGGGAGCGCAACUGACGCUGAAGCUCGAAAGUGCGGGUAUCGAACAGGAUUAGAUACCCUGGUAGUCCGCACGGUAAACGAUGGAUGCCCGCUUUUCGGUCAUUAGACCGUGAGGCCAAGUGAAAACAUUAAGCAUCCCACCUGGGGAGUACGCCGGCAACGGUGAAACUCAAAGGAAUUGACGGGGGCCCGCACAAGCGGAGGAACAUGUGGUUUAAUUCGAUGAUACGCGAGGAACCUUACCCGGGCUUGAAUUGCUGGUGAACGAUACAGAGAUGUUGAGGUCCUUCGGGACACCAGUGAAGGUGCUGCAUGGUUGUCGUCAGCUCGUGCCGUGAGGUGUCGGCUCAAGUGCCAUAACGAGCGCAACCCCUCUCUUCAGUUGCCAUCAGGUAGAGCUGGGCACUCUGGAGACACUGCCACCGCAAGGUGUGAGGAAGGUGGGGAUGACGUCAAAUCAGCACGGCCCUUACGUCCGGGGCUACACACGUGUUACAAUGGGGGGUACAGAAAGCCGGCUGCCCGCAAGGUCAGUCCAAUCAAGAAAGCCUCCCUCAGUUCGGACUGGGGUCUGCAACCCGACCCCACGAAGCUGGAUUCGCUAGUAAUCGCGCAUCAGCCAUGGCGCGGUGAAUACGUUCCCGGGCCUUGUACACACCGCCCGUCAAGCCAUGAAAGCCGGGGGUGCCUGAAGUCCGUGACCGCAAGGAUCGGCCUAGGGCAAAACUGGUAAUUGGGGCUAAGUCGUAACAAGGUAAAUCACUGCCGUCGUAACUCAC